UAACCUACCUCAUAUGGGGGAUAACAGUCGGAAACGACUGCUAAUACCGCAUAGGACAUGGAAUCACAUGAUUCUGUGAGGAAAGGUGGCGCAAGCUAUCGCUAAGAGAUGGACCCGCGGUGCAUUAGCUAGUUGGUAGGGUAACGGCCUACCAAGGCGAUGAUGCAUAGCCGACCUGAGAGGGUGAUCGGCCACAUUGGGACUGAGACACGGCCCAA
rnacentral:rRNA from 1 species